rnacentral:tRNA from 1 species
UACAAAGUUAGUCUAACCAAGACA